rnacentral:tRNA from 1 species
GUAUCUUUAGCUCAGCUGGAUAGAGCAACGGCUCUUCUAAGCCGUGGGUCAGGGGGUUCGAAUCCUCUUAAGGUACACCA